AUUGAACGCUGGCGGCAGGCCUAACACAUGCAAGUCGAACGAGUGGCGGACGGGUGAGUAAUGUCUGGGAAACUGCCCGAUGGAGGGGGAUAACUCCUGGAAACGGUAGCUAAUACCGCAUACCAUCGGAUGUGCCCAGAUGGGGUUAGCUAGUAGGUGGGGUAAAGGCUCACCUAGGCGACGAUCCCUAGCUGGUCUGAGAGGAUGACCAGCCACACUGGAGCUGUGCCACGGGCCAGGUUCCUACGGGAGGCAGCAGUGGGGAAGAUUGCACAAUGGGCGCAAGCCUGAUGCAGCCAUGCCGCGGGCAUGAAGAAGGCCUUCGGGUUGUAAAGUACUUUCAGCGGGGAGGCGUUACCCGCAGAAGAAGCACCGGCUAACUCCGUGCCAGCAGCCGCGGUAAUUC
rnacentral:rRNA from 1 species